UCAUAUUCAAUCGUAGCAAAUCUAUCUUCGUCUCGUUCUCUGAAUGUCAAUCUCGAUCCUCUUAUGUGUAGUCUCAAUCUGUAUCAAUUUCUCGUUCAAUUCAGCAUCUCGUUCGAUUCAGUCUCUAUUGUUUUUUCUUAAUCUCAGUCUAGUACUUCGAUCUCUGUCUCAAUCCUUCAUUGUCACUUUUCAUCGAUCUUCAUCCGUGAAGAGCUUGGUGAAACUUCUGUUGAAGGUUUAUGAGUUUCAUUUUGAUAUAUCAAUUUUAAUGUUUUGGUAAAUAAUUGAUAUCUAAUUGAUCUCUAUGUGACUGUUCUUGACUUCUUGCAACUGAGUUACGCUCAUGAGAAUAACUGAGUUACAUGUUUUGGCAAGAUGUCGCUUGCCUGUGAUCUUGUGGUGUCAUCCAUGAAGUGGAGAUGUGAUUGCCCGCUCAUCACAACCUUUAUUUGGUUUGAUGAUGAACAUGAGGAGCAAAGGAACAAUGAUUGUAGAGUAAUGGGAUUAGUAUUUAGCCAAGUUUUGGCAAGUUGUACUGCCGAGUGAAAAAGACACACCUGAGGCUAACUCCGACCACAUCCUGUAGAUUUUGUAGAAUGGAAGAAAAGUUCAAUCCUUUUUGUAGAGUUUUAGGUCUUCAUUAUUAUUUUUGUUCAGUCUUGAUAAAGUUGUGGAGCUAAAUUAUCAGUGGAUUGCAUUUGAUGAUGUUUGUUACCAUGUUCAGGUGACAGUGAAGAAUCCAAACCUCUUGUUGCUUGUGGUUUCGUUACCAAAUCCACCACCUGAAGCAAUGUCCUUUGAUGGACUUCCAUUAGGAGCUAUAGAAGCCAUUAAAGCUACUUACAAGACUGGUUUUCAAGAGGUUGAAGUAUUGUCUCAUAUCACAUGGAAACCCAAAUGGGGAAUGAUCUUCUCUGAUAUCAAAAAGAAAGUCAGCAGGAACUGCGAGGUCUCUCAGAGAUCCACGAUGGCUAUUACAAUUAGUUUAAGUGUCGAACACUUUGUGUUUUCUUUUAUUACAUGCACUUGACUAUGUUUUCUUAUGUUACUAAUGGCAUAUGUUUUCUCUUGGUAAAAAUA